rnacentral:misc_RNA from 1 species
GAUGAAGAACGUAGCGAAAUGCGAUAACUAAUGUGAAUUGCAGAAUUCCGUGAAUCAUCGAGUCUUUGAACGCACAUUGCGCCCCCUGGUAUUCCGGGGGGCAUGCCUGUCCGAGCGUCAUUGCUGCCCAUCAAGCACGGCUUGUGUGUUGGGUCCUCGUCCCCCCCGGGGGACGUGCCCGAAAGGCAGCGGCGGCACCGCGUCCGGUCCUCGAGCGUAUGGGGCUUUGUCACCCGCUCUGCAGGCCCGGCCGGCGCUGGCCGACGCGAAAGCAACCAUUUUUUCUCCAGGUUGACCUCGGAUCAGGUAGGGAUACCUGCUGAACUUAAGCAUAUCAAUAAGCGGAGGA